UACGUAGGGGGCAAGCGUUGUCCGGAUUUAUUGGGCGUAAAGAGCUCGUAGGUGGUUCGGUAAGUCGGAUGUGAAAUCUCCAGGCUCAACCUGGAGGGGUCAUUCGAUACUGCCGUGACUAGAGUUCGGUAGGGGAGUGUGGAAUUCCUGGUGGAGCGGUGAAAUGCGCAGAUAUCAGGAGGAACAACCGUAGCGAAGGCGGCACUCUGGGCCGAUACUGACACUGAGGAGCGAAAGCGUGGGGAGCGAACAGG
rnacentral:rRNA from 1 species